ensembl:miRNA
ACAAACAUCUGUAGGCUGGCUGGGCCCCAGCUAUCUCUGGGCAAGUAUCUCUUUGAGCAGCUCACUCUCAAGCAUAGUUAGGAGGCCUCACCUUCC